rnacentral:rRNA from 1 species
AGGGUUCGAUUCUGGCUCAGGAUGAACGCUGGCGGCGUGCUUAACACAUGCAAGUCGAACGGGAUCCCUGGCAGCUUGCUUCGGGGUGAGAGUGGCGAACGGGUGAGUAAUGCGUGACCAACCUGCCCUGUGCACCGGAAUAGCUCCUGGAAACGGGUGGUAAUACCGGAUGCUCCGCUCCAUCGCAUGGUGGGGUGGGAAAUGCUUUUGCGGCAUGGGAUGGGGUCGCGUCCUAUCAGCUUGUUGGCGGGGUGAUGGCCCACCAAGGCGUUGACGGGUAGCCGGCCUGAGAGGGUGACCGGCCACAUUGGGACUGAGAUACGGCCCAGACUCCUACGGGAGGCAGCAGUGGGGAAUAUUGCACAAUGGGCGCAAGCCUGAUGCAGCGACGCCGCGUGCGGGAUGGAGGCCUUCGGGUUGUAAACCGCUUUUGUUCAAGGGCAAGGCACGGUUUCGGCCGUGUUGAGUGGAUUGUUCGAAUAAGCACCGGCUAACUACGUGCCAGCAGCCGCGGUAAUACGUAGGGUGCGAGCGUUAUCCGGAUUUAUUGGGCGUAAAGGGCUCGUAGGCGGUUCGUCGCGUCCGGUGUGAAAGUCCAUCGCUUAACGGUGGAUCUGCGCCGGGUACGGGCGGGCUGGAGUGCGGUAGGGGAGACUGGAAUUCCCGGUGUAACGGUGGAAUGUGUAGAUAUCGGGAAGAACACCAAUGGCGAAGGCAGGUCUCUGGGCCGUUACUGACGCUGAGGAGCGAAAGCGUGGGGAGCGAACAGGAUUAGAUACCCUGGUAGUCCACGCCGUAAACGGUGGAUGCUGGAUGUGGGGCCCGUUCCACGGGUUCCGUGUCGGAGCUAACGCGUUAAGCAUCCCGCCUGGGGAGUACGGCCGCAAGG